rnacentral:rRNA from 1 species
GACGAACGCUGGCGGCGUGCCUAAUACAUGCAAGUAGAACGCUGAAGGAGGAGCUUGCUUCUCUGGAUGAGUUGCGAACGGGUGAGUAACGCGUAUGUAACCUGCCUGGUAGCGGGGGAUAACUAUUGGAAACGAUAGCUAAUACCGCAUAAUAUUGACUAUUGCAUGAUAGUCAGUUGAAAGGUGCAACUGCACCACUACCAGAUGGACCUGCGUUGUAUUAGCUAGUUGGUGGGGUAACGGCUCACCAAGGCGACGAUACAUAGCCGACCUGAGGGGGGGAUCGGCCACACUGGGACUGAGACACGGCCCAGACUCCUACGGGAGGCAGCAGUAGGGAAUCUUCGGCAAUGGACGGAAGUCUGACCGAGCAACGCCGCGUGAGUGAAGAAGGUUUUCGGAUCGUAAAGCUCUGUUGUAAGAGAAGAAAGAGUGUGAGAGUGGAAAGCUCACACUGUGACGGUAUCUUACCAGAAAGGGACGGCUAACUACGUG